ACUAAUUUGCUAACUAUUAGCAUGCUUACAGUUAGCUUGUGUCAAUGGCAGAGUUGUGUGACUAAUGUGACACUUGCAAACUAUAAGCAUGCUAACAGCAUGUGUCAAUUGCCAAGUUUUGUGACUAAUGUGACACAUGCUAGCAGUUGGCAUGUGUCAAUGACCAAGUAUUGUGUCUAACGUUAGACACUUGCUAACUAUUAGCAUGCGUCAAUUACCAAGUUUUGAGACUAACAUGGCACAUGCUAACAGUCGGCAUGGGUCAAGGCCCAAGUUAUAUCACUAACGUGACACAUGCCAACUAUUAGAAUGCGUAAAUUACCAAGUUUUGUGACUGACGUGACACUUGCUAACUAUUAGCAUGCUAACAGUUAGCAUGUGUCGAUUGCCAAGUUUUGUGACUAACAUUAGACACUUGCAAACUAUUAGCAUGCUAACGGUUAGACACAUGCUAACCGUUAGCAUGCGUCAAGGCCCAAGUUAUAUCACUAACGUGACACAUGCUAACUAUUAGAAUGUGUCAAUUACCAAGUUUUGUGACUGAUGUGACACUUGCUAACUAUUAGCAUGCUAACAGUUAGCAUGUGUCAGUUACUGAGUCUUGUGACUAACUUGCUAACUAAUAGCAUGCUAACAGUUAGCUUGUGUCAAUGGCCAAGUUUUGUGACUAACAUGACACUUGCUAACUAUAAGCAUGCUAACAGCAUGUGUCAAUUGCCAAGUUUUGUGACUAAUGUGACACAUGCUAACAGUUGGCAUGUGUCAAUGACAAAGUAUUGUGUCUAACAUUAGACACUUGCUAACUAUUAGCAUGCUAACAGUUAGAAUGCGUCAAUUACCAAGUUUUGAGACUAACAUGGCACAUGCUAACAGUCAGCAUGGGUCAAGGCCCAAGUUAUAUCACUAACGUGACACAUGCCAACUAUUAGAAUGCGUAAAUUACCAAGUUUUGUGACUGACGUGACACUUGCUAACUAUUAGCAUGCUAACUGUUAGCAUGUGUCGAUUACCAAGGUUUGUGACUAACGUGACACAUGCUAGCAGUUAGCAUGUGACAAUGACCAAGUAUUGUGUCUAAAAUUAGACACUUGCAAACUAUUAGCAUGCUAACGGUUAGACACAUGUUAACAGUUAGCAUGCGUCAAGGCCCAAGUUAUAUCACUAGCGUGACACAUGCUAACUAUUAGAAUGCGUCAAUUACCAAGUUUUGUGACUGACGUGACACUUGCUAACUAUUAGCAUGCUAACAGUUAGCAUGUGUCAAUUACUGAGUCUUGUGACUAACUUGCUAACUAUUAGCAUGCAAACAGUUAGCUUGUGUCAAUGGCCGAGUUUUGUGACUAACAUGACACUUGAUAACUAUAAGCAUGCUAACAGUUAGCAUGUGUCAAUUGCCAAGUUUUGUGACAAAUGUGACACAUGCUAACUGUAAGCAUGCUAACAGUUAGCAUGUGUCAAUUGCCAAGUUUUGUGACUAACGGACACUUGCGAGCUAUUAGCAUGCUAACGGUUAGACACAUGCUAACAGUUAGCAUGCGUCAAUUAUCAAGUUUUGUGACCAACAUAGCACAUGCUAACAGUUAGCAAGGGUCAAGGCCCAAGUUAUAUCACUAACGUGACACAUGCUAACUAUUAGAAUGCGUCAAUUACCAAGUUUUGUGACUGACGUGACACUUGCUAACUAUUAGCAUGCUAACAGUUAGCAUAUGUCGAUUACCAAGUGUUGUGACUAACAUGACACAUGCUAACAGUUAGCAUGUGUCAAUGAUCAAGUUCAUGACAUCAGGUGAGUCCCGGGAGGUUCCUAGAAUGUCGCGAAGGUUUUUUUUCCUCCCGGACGCGGUGGACAUUUAACAAGCUGACCUUUUCCAGACCUGCUUUACGGCUUCCCGCUGGACUUCCCCUCCAGCGAGCAGACAAAUGUCAGCGCCGUCACGUCCCAGUAGUUCCUGAUGAACGCCGCCAAAGUUCAGCGGGACGACCCCCAGAUGCAUUCUAGGGCUUUUAAUUAUUUAUUUUUUUAUUUUUGACAAACUUGUUUUUGUUUUGAUGAAGGUAAUUGCGGUUUACCAUCUGGCUCCGCCCACGGGAGACCCCCGCGGGCUAUUUGGCGUGGCUCCCACAAACAGGUGGCGUCACGCCGGCGUUGAGACGGACCAGAACCGCUGACCGGACACCGAAUUUAUAGACGGCGGCGUCCUCCGGAGACUUCAGGCCCGCGCUCAUCCAUUAUUACUGAGAACUUUCUGUCCUACUUCAGCGGUCUUGGGACCCCCCUGCUGCGCCUUCAAGCACGUUGACCCAAUUCAACGAGAAAGCAGGGUGAGGGAACUCCUCGCCGCAGAUGAUGUCAUGAUCAGCCAAUCAGAUCUCUGAAAGAUGUCCACUGAGCCACUCGGUCAGCACUACAGUGCUGCAUACAGCUCUAAAGCCGCGGAUUCAUACUGGCCAACCUCGAGACCUGCGACUUCGGGAGGUCGGGGCC